GUACCUACCUGGCCGAUAAGCUGCUGUGAUCACAAAGAUGUUUUUGUNAGAGUGAGCCUCAUCCACUGUGCUCCGAUUUCAGACUCCCGAGAUUUCCCUGAAUGUGGAAAACUCGACUGUGUCAUUUGGGGUAGAGGGACUGCAUCCCUGCUUUCCCCUU
rnacentral:snRNA from 11 species